rnacentral:rRNA from 1 species
UACGGAGGGUGCGAGCGUUGUCCGGAAUCAUUGGGCGUAAAGGGCGCGUAGGUGGCCCGGUCAGUCCGUGGUGAAAGCGCGGGGCUCAACCCUGCGUCGGCCAUGGAUACUGCCGCGGCUCGGAGCACUGUAGAGGCAGGCGGAAUUCCGGGUGUAGCGGUGGAAUGCGUAGAGAUCCGGAGGAACACCAGAGGCGAAGGCGGCCUACGUGGGCUGCACCUGACGCUGAGCCGCGAAAGCCAGGGGAGCGAACGGG